rnacentral:rRNA from 1 species
GACGAACGCUGGCGGCGUGCUUAACACAUGCAAGUCGAACGAAGAGGCGAACAGGUGUGUAAAACGUGAGUAACCUGCCCUCCUUUUUGGGAUAAGCCUCGGAAACGGGGUCUAAUACCGGAUAAAGGGGGAUGGGCGCGCGGCCUAGCAGCUUGUUGGUGGGGUAAUGGCCUACCAAGGGGUAGACGGGUAGCCGGACUGAGAGGGUGACCGGGCACGUUGGGACUGAUAUACGGCCCAGGGUCCUACGUGGGGCGGCAUUGGGGGAUAUUGGACAAUGGGCGAUGGCCUGAUGCAGCGUCGCCGAGUGGGGGAUGAGGGCUUUCGGGUUGUAAACCUGUGUCGCUAGCGAACGGGUAGGUGCAGAAGAAGCGCCGGCUAACUACGUGCCAGCAGCCGCGGUAAUUC